rnacentral:rRNA from 1 species
GUGUCCUCAACUGUUGGGAAAUCGACAAACAUUCUUUGGCAUGAUUGUCCAAUAGGUCAGUUUGAGAGGCAGAAACUGCUAAAUCAGAAGGGUUGUGUUGUGUGGAUAACAGGGUUAAGUGGUUCAGGGAAAAGCACACUAGCAUGCGCGCUAAGUCGCGAGCUGCACUCCAGAGGUCAUCUGACCUACAUUCUAGACGGCGACAAUCUAAGGCAUGGGUUAAACCGAGACCUCUGUUUCGAAGCAAAGGACCGUGCUGAAAAUAUACGCAGAGUAGGGAGAAGUAGCAAGCUGUUUGCAGAUGCUGGUCUGAUCUGCAUUGCCAGCUUGAUAUCACCCUACAGAAGUGAACGCAGCGCUUGCCGUAAAUUACUGCACAAUUCUACAUUCAUUGAGGUGUUUUUGGAUGUCCCACUUGAAGUUUGUGAAGCUAGGGAUCCAAAAGGUUUGUACAAGCUUGCCCGCGCAGGAAAAAUCAAAGGGUUUACUGGAAUUGAUGAUCCUUAUGAACCACCUUCUGACUGCGAGAUAGUGAUACAGUGCAAAGCUGGUGACUGCGCCACGCCUAAAUCGAUGGCUGAUCAAGUUGUGUCAUACCUCGAAGCAAAUGAGUUCUUACAGGAUUAG